GCACCUACCGAUUGAAUGGUUCGGUGAAAAUCUCGGACUGCGGCUUGGAUGCCUUCGGGCAACCAAGCUGUGGAAAGUUGUUUAAACCUCAUCAUUUAGAGGAAGGUGAAGUCGUAACAAGGUUUCCGUAGGUGCACCUGCAGAAGGAUCAAGAUCGGAAGAGAAGACGGCGGAACUCCAGUCACGUGGUCAGAACAGGGAUGCCGGCUGCUGGUUGUAAAAAUAUCAUAGCACAGCUAUCAGAUCGUGCGGUAGUGCAUACAUGGUGAGGCCUUCU
rnacentral:misc_RNA from 1 species